ensembl:ncRNA B0034.8 ncRNA
CUCCGGAUGUCAGAAGUAGAGAGCACGAGACGCAGACAAGAGUUACGAAAUAUUGGGGAGACAGUGCGUGAGAGGAAGAGACGCAGAGUGAGUUGCUAUGGGAGACCCCGAGGACCUCAUUUGUUUUUUCAAAUUCCUGCGAAGGUCGGAUGUGGAAAAUUUUAGUUUGAUUGGAUUGUUUUUCGAGAAAUUCGAGACACUU